UGCACAUCAACCAGAUAUGUGCCACUGUUUCCAACUUUUCAUCAACAAAAAGGCCUUUCCAACUCCUUCCAAAUUAGAAGACCAGUUGGUGACACACAGCACCUCUGGACAUGCCCCCUGUGCGGGGCCGGAGGCGGGCCGGGCCCUGGGACUGCUCUCAGAUGAGAAGCGGCCGCCGAGCUCCCCACUCCAGAGACCCACGGGAACCUUUGUAACUAACCCCACCCCCAGGGAAGGCUAGGAGCGCCGGAGCCCGCGCUGGGGGCUGCCGGGGACCAGGCCCGGCCGGACGCUGCAGGCUCGCUGCAUGGAGAAGAAGGCAGCUCGGCCCCACGCCCGGCGCUGGCCAGCGCGACGAGGCCCAGAGGGGCGGGGGAGUCCAAGCCCGCCCGGCCCGGCUGCUCCUGGGGGGCGCUUUCCUGCCCCUCCCCUCCUCUGCUCCUUCCUGCAUGGACCUCUGCCGUUCCUGCUCCUGCUCCGGAAGCCGCCGCCGCCGCCGCGCUUGCCUUGCCCCCUCUUUUUGGCCUCCCCCUAUUUCCUAGGAUCCGCAUUCGGGUGGACUCUGCCCCAGGAGCUUGACAGGGUGCAGGGCCUCUUCUGGCCUCUCUCCUCUCUCUGUCCAUCCACUGUGCCCCUUGGGCCACGCCGACGCGCUCGGUGCCACGUGCCGUGUGGUGUCUGUGCCGCAGACGGGCCAUCUGCCCGCUCACUUGUGGACUUUGCGCUCCCGGUUGUCGCGCCCUGUGCUCCCGACCAGCAGCCCCACCGUCCACCUCCUCGCCCCCGCUUCUCUUACGCCCCCGCCCCGGGCGUGCUCCUCGCGCCCUCGGCCUCUCUGUCCUUGCUCUUUUGUAAGGGGCGGGCCCGGCUCAGUGACCUGUGCU
rnacentral:lncRNA from 1 species